UACGGAGGGUGCGAACGUUGUUCGGAAUCACUGGGCGUAAAGGGCGCGUAGGCGGACUUGUAAGUCGGGAGUGAAAACUCGGGGCUCAACCCCGAGCCUGCUUCCGAAACUGCGAGUCUUGAGGACCGGAGAGGAAAGUGGAAUUCCUAGUGUAGCGGUGGAAUGCGUAGAUAUUAGGAAGAACACCAGUGGCGAAGGCGACUUUCUGGACGGUUCCUGACGCUGAGGCGCGAAAGCUAGGGGAGCAAACAGG
rnacentral:rRNA from 1 species